rnacentral:misc_RNA from 1 species
UGUGCAUAUGCGUCACUUGAUGGUCUUUGAGUAUUUUGGGAUUUUGGUUAUGUUUCAUAUUAUCUUUAGGUUUGGUAAUGAUUAGGUAGUUGUGAGUUCUAUUAUUGGUGUGCUUUUUCACAGAUUCUCAUAGUACACUAUCUGAUUCUUGGGGAUUUGGUGGGUACUUUUAGUACGAAUUCAGGAAUUGUUAGGAUUUAUCUUCAAUGGUUUUUUGUUUGAGGAUUGGAUUUCUCUACAGUGGCUGAAUCUUU